AAGCAUAAGCAGCAAACGAAGGUUCUAUGAGCAACUCUAGCAGCCGCCCUAUCCGAUGCCCCCAUCCGACUCCCAGAAUUCAGCCGCUUCACAUAUCCGGAUAUCCCUUCCGGAAUCCUCAAACUCGGCGGGCAGCUCGGGGCGCUCCCCAAUCCCCAAACGGCUCCAACGGUGUUGCUAUGGCUACCUGUGGUCGGAGAUAUGGCGGCGGCGGUGUGGAUCGGGAGAUCGGAGCCUGACGGGCGGAGAGAUCAACAUUAUUACAUUAUUUGUAUGGUCUAACCAUUCAGAGAGUAGAAGACAAGCCAAUGGUGGAGGCUGCAUAUUUGCAGUUGUAGCAAGCGGUCAAGAAAACUUUUAUUACCUGUAAUGGAUGGCAGCAUAACCUGCGUCUGUCGGCUCCUUGAUGCA